AAUUUCCUGUUUAAUUUGUUGGGCCACCAUUUUUUUAUUUUAAUCUUAAUUUUUACCUUGCAUUUGUGAUUUGUGAACAAAUGACCCUAGCUGGAAAGACUUUUCUCCGUCCGCCAACGACAGGAAACAGCAAAACAUUUUGUGGCAGCUGGAGAAAUUCCAAUCCAAACAAUGCGGCUUUGUCAGAAGUCAAAGCUUCUCUCUCGCCUGUGACUACUGCCGAUCACCACUAUAUUCUGUACGGCCAGAUUCUACACCAUCUCCACCGCCGCGCCACCACAAAACGCCACUGGUAACUCUCUCUCUCGUUACCGCCAUUUCUUAACAAGUAACCAAUUUGGUUAAAUUUGGUGCUGAUUAUGGCCAUUGAAGGCACUACAUCUUCUAUUUUCUUGUAAGUUAAUUCAAGCGUGUUAUGAACUGAUUCUGUCAACUUCCAAGGCUUGUAACUGUAGACUUGUAAAUGGUGCAUAGUACUUUACACUUAAACAGAAAAGCUUUUGUUCUGUGUCUUUGCAAAGAAGCAUUUUAGAAGUUUUGCAAAUAAUUCAUACAAUUUAUAAACACAUCAAAUUUUCAGGAUUACCGUGAAAUCAAAUAGUACAAAAGAAGUGACUAUUUGGGGAAAAUUCACACUCAAACAAAUUUCUAUUGACAGAGAAAAAGAACAGUUAAGGACGUGUUCCUGCACUUUCUCUGUGUGCCUGCGGGUUAGUUCCCAUUGCAUUAUGCUUUCCUAUGGAAAACAUUUAUACAAAUCACGCAAAGCAAAAAUAAAAAAUAAACAAAAGAUAAGAUAAGGGAAUUUUUUCUACACUGGCAAUAACGGUGGAGUGAGAAUUGAGCAGUUGUCAGAAACACUCCAGCAGCUCUUUGUGUGAAACAUUUCGAUGUCUUUGAUCUUUCUUAGCUGACACUCGCAUCAUUUAACUCAUGUCUAAGUUUUGUUUUCAUCUGAUGGGGCACACGAAAUACCAAUUGCAGUGUUGGAGAGUGCGGCAACGUUAGUACCUAUUUCCAUGAAUCUGCAGUCGUACAACAAAAUUAAGUUUGCAAUCAUGAAUCAUGUUAUAUGGUCACGAGUCACAUAUAUUUCCUUUCUUGCGUGUUUUUGCACUUGUUCUUAAUAUCAGAUUGAUUCAUACUCACAUCAAAACCAACGACUGUUCUGCAGUAAGUGGUGUUUGUGAGCACUGUACUGGUGGAUCCGCAUUCACUAUCUUUGAGGGAUACUGUUGAUCUGUCAAGUUUAGUUGACCAUGGAUAUUGGUAAUUCUGAGCUGUAGCCCCGACAUGUGAAGAUGAUCGCUGCAUUCGCA
rnacentral:lncRNA from 1 species